GAGGGUAUAGCUUAAGUAGUAGAGUACAGGCUUAGCUAAUACACAAGGUCCUGGGUUCAAUUCCCAGUACCUCCU
rnacentral:tRNA from 1 species